rnacentral:rRNA from 1 species
GCCCAGACUCCUACGGGAGGCAGCAGUGGGGAAUAUUGGACAAUGGGGGGAACCCUGAUCCAGCGACGCCGCGUGAGUGAAGAAGUAUUUCGGUAUGUAAAGCUCUAUCAGCAGGGAAGAAAGAAAUGACGGUACCUGACUAAGAAGCCCCGGCUAACUACGUGCCAGCAGCCGCGGUAAUACGUAGGGGGCAAGCGUUAUCCGGAUUUACUGGGUGUAAAGGGAGCGUAGACGGCGAUGCAAGCCAGAUGGGAAAGCCCGGGGCUCAACCCCGGGACUGCAUUUGGAACUGUAUAGCUAGAGUGUCGGAGAGGCAGGCGGAAUUCCUAGUGUAGCGGUGAAAUGCGUAGAUAUUAGGAGGAACACCAGUGGCGAAGGCGGCCUGCUGGACGACAACUGACGGUGAGGCGCGAAAGCGUGGGGAGCAAACAGGAUUAGAUACCCUCGUAAG